GUGGGGAAUCUUGCGCAAUGGGCGAAAGCCUGACGCAGCGACGCCGCGUGAGUGAUGAAGGCCUUCGGGUUGUAAAGCUCUGUGGGGAGAGAAGAAUAAGUGCGGGCUAAUACUCCGCAUGAUGACGGUAUCUCCUUAGCAAGCACCGGCUAACUCUGUGCCAGCAGCCGCGGUAAGACAGAGGGUGCAAACGUUGUUCGGAAUUACUGGGCGUAAAGCGAGUGUAGGCGGUUUGGUAAGUCGGAUGUGAAAGCCCCGGGCUCAACCCGGGAAGUGCACUCGAUACUGCCAAGCUAGAGUAUCGGAGAGGUUGGUGGAAUUCUCGGUGUAGAGGUGAAAUUCGUAGAUAUCGAGAGGAACACCGGUGGCGAAGGCGGCCAACUGGACGAAUACUGACGCUGAGACUCGAAAGCGUGGGGAGCAAACAGGAUUAGAUACCCCGGUAGUCC
rnacentral:rRNA from 1 species